UACAGAGGGGGCAAGCGUUGUUCGGAAUUACUGGGCGUAAAGGGCGCGUAGGCGGCCAACUAAGUCAGACGUGAAAUCCCUCGGCUUAACCGGGGAACUGCAUCUGAUACUGGAUGGCUUGAGUUCGGGAGAGGGAUGCGGAAUUCCAGGUGUAGCGGUGAAGUGCGUAGAUAUCUGGAGGAACACCGGUGGCGAAGGCGGCAUCCUGGACCGACACUGACGCUGAGGAGCGAAAGCGUGGGGAGCGAACCGG
rnacentral:rRNA from 1 species